CUUAACAUGAGGAAAACGUGACAGAUAGGGAGCUGGAGUGCAAGGAGACAAUUGUGGCUAAUUGUGUUGAAAAUUCUGUGUAACCACGUGACCACAUAAGUACCUCGCUGGAGCCCCUAAAAGGAUGGUUAGUUCCACGGGAAACCUGUCACUUGUCUACUUUCUUCCCAUUCAGGAGAAGAAACCUAUCUAUCUAAGUCGAGGGAGCCACACACAAUCAAGA
rnacentral:lncRNA from 1 species